rnacentral:rRNA from 1 species
GUCUAGGGCCAUGCUACCUUGAAAGUGCCUGAUCUCGUCUGAUCUCGGAAGUUAAGCAGGGUCGGGCCUGGUUAGUACUUGGAUGGGAGACCACCUAGGAAGACCGGGUGCUGUAGGCG